GGACUACCAGGGUUUCUAAUCCCGUUCGCUCCCCUGGCUUUCGUCCAUCAGCGUCAGUUGCUUCCCAGAAAGCUGCCUACGCCAUCGGUGUUCUUCCGGAUAUCUACGCAUUUCACCACUCCACCCGGAGUUCCGCUUUCCUCUGAAGCCCUCAAGUCUGUCCGUAUUCAAAGCACUUCCCCGGUUAAGCCGAGAACUGUCACCCCAAACGCAACAGACCGCCUGCGGACGCUUUACGCCCAAUAAAUCCGGACAACGCUCGCCCCCUACGUAUUACCGCGGCUGCUGGCAC
rnacentral:rRNA from 1 species